AAAGACUGUGUACUGUAAGCUUAUUAAAUGUAUAUAUAUAUAUACACACACUCACACGUGUGUGUGUUUAAAGAGAUAUAUACUCUCCUUUUCUACAGACACACAAACUUGUCAAUUAUGGGUUUGUCACUUUCUUCAUAGUGUUUCAAGAGAACAAGUUCUCAGAAAGAAAAAGCAAAUGAAAAAUGUUCAGUUGUCUUCUUCAAAGCAAGAAUGUUAUCUUUUUUCAUCUCUUUUUGGUUUUUAAUUUUUUUUUUUAAACAUUCAUUUUCCAUGUCAGCAUGGAUUAGAUGGUUCUGAAAUCUUGGAUAAUUCAAUGAAAUGUUGAAGUAUUUUGACCGUUGAAUGCCCCCCACCUCACUCAUCUUGAAAUGAGAAAGUGUAUUUUUCAACUAGGUUGACAAAGGUAAUCUAGGUUGUAUUCCUUGAUUUGUGGCACAACACAAGACUGCUGAAAAUAAAUGUUUAAAAAAAAAAGAGAAAAAUCCACAUAAAAUUUAUUGAAAUUUGUCACUAAAUGGAAUAAUUUCUUGAUGUUUUUUAAACAGUCUCUACUAAUAAUGGGUCCAUUAUUCAAACUUUAUCUUCUGCUGAAUAUUUCAUAGGAAUUCUGUUUUAAAAUUAAGAUACAUUAAAAAACUUAAUUUUCAUUUACCUUUAAUUCAUGAGAAAAAUAUAACAAAAAUUUAAAUAUUAACGUGUUUUUUAAAAGAAAUUUAUGUAAAAAUCUUUUUGUUUGUGUGUGUAUGUUCUUGUUUCCAACUGUUAUAAACUAGAUUUUACUCAAAGGUAUGAUUAAAAUAUUUUUAAAGAGUAACUAAACUGUGUACAUCUCAGAAAUUCCUAAUUAGUAUAUUGUUGUUAUUAACUUUAGCUUUUAAUAAUCAUAAUUAUAGUCUUUUUAUUAAAUGAUAUUUUCUGAUACCAUGUUUUAUAUGUUACAAUUAAAGACUUUUAAAAGAAACCCUGUUGUGAGAGCUAACUAACAAUGGUCGUUAAAAUUCUAAUAUGUUUAAUAUUUGUGAGAAACUAAUAUUAAUUGUGAUCCUAAUGUAAUAUAAAUUUUGAUAAAAUUCUUUUAGAAGUAGAAAACUGUAUUUAAUUAUGAGAUUUAAUUAUAGUUAUCUCUUUAGUUUUAUGACCAAAUUUUACUGGUCUCAAUGUUCUUUUCUUGUUUCACAACAUCUCUUCAUUAACAUAUUCAAAAUAUUUUUUAUAAUUUUUCCCAAUCCUUUUCCCCAUUUUCUGAUCCAUUUGUUGUGUUUAACCAUUUCUUGCAUUUGGUGACCUCUCUUCUGUAUUGGCUUAGUUUUAUCAUGCUUGUCUUUAAAAUCCCCCAACAUUUUUUUUUUAUAAGUGUUCAUUUUAUAAAACCUACAAAAUCAAAGUCAUUAUCUUAAAGAUAUUUGUAGUUUUUAAAGAUGCUCCAUAUUUUAGUACAAUACCACAUGACUGGAAGAAUUUCUGUAUAUAUAUAUAAAUUCUUGUAUGUAUAUAUAUAUAUAUAUGUGUGUGUGUGUGUGUAGGCUCAUUAUUUUACUUAUUCCUCUCCUCCUUACCCAGCCCAACACCCAGAUAUAUUGAAGCACUUCAGUGUCAUCAAUUCAAUUUUUCAGUGACUAAUGCAGCCAUGCAAAUGGAAAAUUAUUGCCUAAUUAUAAGAAAUUGUUAAAUAUUGAUCUCUUGCAUUGGCACAAUCUCUACACUAAAUACUAAGAACUGUGUUAUAUUCAUUAUAUUGUUUUAUGGGCAAUUGAUAGGGAUUACACCUCAGGGCACAAUGUUUUUUUUUACUAGGAAUCUAGGGAUAAGACCACGGGGUACCAUAUACAAUUUUUAUGGACAAGCUGUAGAUAUAAGAAAUAUACCUCAGGGUACAUUUUGACAGACAAUGGUAGUGAUAAGAAUUAUACCUCAGGGAAUCUACAAACUCAAUGUUUACAAGUUUUACAAAGGAAGUAUCUCAGUAAAUUUCUAUCAAUUAAUUAUGUCUUUUUAAUUACACUUACAUAUCGUUAAAAUGGAUCAAUUCUAUAAACUCAGAACAGUAUUUUAUAAAGUUCAGUAUUUGUACAUUGUACUGGUGGCACACCAAAAUAAUAAUAAUUAUUAUUAUUAGAAGAUAAAUUAACAAUCUUUUAUUUAAUAGCAAUAAAUAUAUAUUUUUGCAUAUAUUUAUUAAAAAAAAAAACCAAAGAGAUUUUUUUUCAGAAUGAUUAUUUUAUCAGUUUAAAAUUAUUGGUUGUUAAUUAAUUGUUGCUGUUAUAUUAAUUGAACAGAUAUCCCUCCCCACUCCUAUCCCCAUACUACAAUAAUGUCGUAAUAGGAGAAAUAGUUCAAAUGACUUCAAAAGAAUUUCAGGUUCAUAAAACACAAGACAAAAAAAUUAAUUAAUUAAUUAAUUAAAAAAAGGAAACAUUAAUUUAUUGAUGGUACAAGCUGUUUUUAGAUAUUGCAAAAAUAUCCAAGAUGGUCCAGAAUUGUUGUAAAAACUAUUGAUUUUUGUUUUCUAUUUACUCUCUAAAAUUGAAAAAUUAAUACAAUUUUAUAUAUUGAUAUAUUUUCAAUGUUAUUUUUAUCUCAAUAAUAUUCAUUUGACUUCGAUUGGUGAUGUGACAGAUAUUUAUUUGUAUUACAAACUUGGUAAGUAAGAAGUAAGAAAAAUCCUCAAUGUUUAUAAUGAAAUAUCUCUAAGCAAACCAGAACAAGAAAUCCUUUCUUAAAAUUUAAGGGUCUUUAGGUAGAACCUAUUAUGGUAACAUUACUCUCUGCUUCUCCAUUAACAACAACACAACCUUUCUGUAUUUUAUACAGAAAUUGUUGCCAUUCACUUGACAGAAGUAAAUUUCUUGGCAACAUUUUAAAAAUAUUUAUGGAACUGGUGGUUUUAGGGUUGAACUUAAGUCAGUGAUUUUAACCCUUUCAUCACCAUAUUUAUUUUGAGAUGCUCUGUGUUUCUUUCAAUUAUUUUAAAUAUAACAAAGAGUUUAGUAAAAUAACUUAGUUAUCAUUAGGCUAGUGUUAGGAACAUAAAUUGUGACUAAGGUUUGGUGGAAGAUUUUAAUUCAAAACUUAUGAAAACACGAUAUUUCUCCUACAGAGCCAGAGCCAGUUUCAGCUGGGUUGGUAACGAAAAGGAUUAAGCAAAAAUUUUGUUGACAAAUAUAAUUACUCAGAAAACCUUGUGUUGAAUGUGUUGGAAGUCUUAAACAUUGGUUUAUGAAGGACUGAGAGACAUGUAAAAAUAAAUGCAACGAAAUAUGUACACUAGAUAUAAGCACAAAAUGCAUGAAUUGAGAGUUCAAUAUCUUAUCUAGCCAUUGGACCUCAAACUGUUUCUACUGGUUAAAUGAGGAUAAAUCUAAUUAAGUAAGUAAGUUUGCAAAUGAUUUUAAAAGUGUUUUUAAUCCUUGCAUUCCCCAAUUAUGGGUCACUAGUUUAAUAAAAAGAGCUGGACCUAUCUGACCAAAUUUAUUCCUUCAUACUGUCUCUUAUAUAUAUUUUACCCAUUUGAUUCUGGCCAUUUUUUUUUUUAUUAUUUUACUUCUUUUGAUGAUGAUCUAAGGGGGCUUCAAGCAGUAAUUCAACAAAUAUUUACUUUCUGUAAGCCCAACUGUUUGGAUAACAUCAUAGUUAUAUUAUAUUAAAUGAUCCCUUUUUUUUAUUUAUUUACAAAGGGAAUUUGGUAUUUUAACUAGAAAUCUUCUGAUCAAUAGCCAACGAAUACUACCAUGUAUAUAUUCCAAAUGUUAUAUAUAUAUAUAUAUAUAACAUUUAUACGCAUGUGUGUGUGUGUGUAUGUAUACAUAUAUAUAUAAAACAUAUACGUGUAUGUCUGUGUAUAAGUAUAUAUAUAUAUAUAUAUAUAUACGCACACACACUCAUAAAGUGAUUAACUUCAUCUUUAAGUCCCACCUCUUCUAUCAGAUUCUAACCUCAACUCUUUCUCACAUUUUCUAGAAAUUUCUUGUUUCCUCCUCUCCACAACACCCAAGGCCUUUUACUUGCCAGAUUUGUUGCCAAAAA